rnacentral:rRNA from 1 species
GAUUAACGCUGGCGGCGUGCAUAACACAUGCAAGUCGAACGAUGAAACUUAGUACACUUCUUCGUAACGACACUAAGCGACUUAGUGGCGAACGGGUGAUUAACGCGUGAGUAACCUGCCUUACACACGGGGAUAGCCUUUUGAAACGAAGAAUAAUACCCUAUAAAACCAUACAAGCACAUGCUAGAAUGGUCAAAUUGAUAGCGGUUUAAUAUGGACUUGCGUCUGAUUAGCUAGUUGGUGAGAUAAAAGCUCACCAAGGGAACGAUCAGUAGGCGGCAUGAGAGAGUGGACGGAGACAUUGAGAAUGAGACACGGCCCAGAAUCCUACGGGAGGGAGCAGUGGGGAAUGUUGCACAAUGGGGGAAACGAUGAUGCAGCGACGACGAGAGACUGAGAAGGUCAGCGGGUUGUAAAAAUCUUAUGUAUAGGAAGAAAAUGACAGGACUAUAAGAAUAAGGCCAGGCUAAUUAAGUG